AGUGAACGCUGGCGGUAGGCCUAACACAUGCAAGUCGAACGGCAGCACAGUAAGAGCUUGCUCUUACGGGUGGCGAGUGGCGGACGGGUGAGGAAUACAUCGGAAUCUACUUUUUCGUGGGGGAUAACGUAGGGAAACUUACGCUAAUACCGCAUACGACCUACGGGUGAAAGCAGGGGAUCUUCGGACCUUGCGCGAUUGAAUGAGCCGAUGUCGGAUUAGCUAGUUGGCGGGGUAAAGGCCCACCAAGGCGACGAUCCGUAGCUGGUCUGAGAGGAUGAGCGGCCACAGUGGAAUUGAACCAGGGUCCGGACCCCUCCGGGAGGAGGCAGGGGGAAAUUUGGAACAAUGGGCGAAAGCCGUACCCAGCCAUACCGGGGGGGUGAAAAAGGCCUUGGGGUUGUAAGGCCUUUUUGUGGGGAAAAAAAAGCAGCAGGUAAAUACCCCCUUGUUCGGAGGUUACCAAAAAAAAAGGCCCGGGCUAACUUCGUG
rnacentral:rRNA from 1 species